rnacentral:lncRNA from 1 species
GUUGAAUUUGUUGUAAUUUUCUAAAAACCUCAUAUAAUUUCCUGUGAGCUUGACCCUUCUGUUGAAGUCCAGCUGACAUUUUGGUUCUCGUGGAAUGUAACACGCUACGGGGAUCAGCCGUUUGGUGAGUCUGAGGUAAACCUUUUAUUGGAAGAGCAGUGUCUUAGAUGAAAUGAGCUUUGAACGAUUUGGGGAAGUAGAGCAAUGGGGGGUGGGGAAAGACUUUCUGCUGCAGACAAAGGUUCCCUACAUGUCUGCCCUGAUCCUGCACCUUUGUGCCCUCUGAACAAUGAAGACAAGCCAGGCAAACCCCAGUGAUGCUUUAACCUGCAGCUCGGGACAGCCUCCACUCUGUCUCAGACUCGCCCGGCUGUGUUCUGGCUUCUGCCUGGGGUUCAGCCACGGGCUCACCUGUCCUUGCAGCAGAACCUCUGUCUUUGGAGUUGGUGCUGGUCUUUGAGUCAUUUCUUUGCCUGUGAUUCAGUCAAGCCUGGUUGGAUUCAGACCAGCAUGAAGGGUCCGACUGCUCCUAAUUCUCCCUCCCAGCUGGGCCUGCUUCAAAUCCUCCAGCAUUCAGCCCAGCAAACCAUGAUCUAGCCCAACGCUCCCUCUGGGCAUGUGCCUCUCCAAGAUGCCGCAGGCAGAGGAAGCUGAAAGGCUGAGUGAGCCUCCCAUUUGAAUGUCUGCUUUUUCUAGGGCAAGCUGUUCUUUUCCAUACCUUGUUUGUAAGACAGAGAAGGGGUCCGCCUGAAUUGUACCGGGCACUGUGUUAGCGCUCCAUGCAGAUGGGCCAGGUUGCUUUCACUCUUCUGAGAUUAACAGUUGCACUUCUUAAUAACAGAGCCAUUUCACAGUUUGAUACCAAGCACCCAUACAGACAAUAUUUGGAGUCAGUGAAGAGAGUUUUUGCAAAUGUCUUAGAAGAUAAAUUAGCGACAGUGUGAGAGAUCAGUUUGCACUGUGCUUCAGUUUUCCAUUGCAGGCUCUUACUAACCUGAUCCCAUUACAGCUUUGAAUUAGGAAAUAAGCCUGAGGCACAAAUAGCUGUGAAAGCUUUGUUUGGUUGAGGGUUUUGGAAUUCGAAUGCUUAACAAAAGUUUGCAAAAUCCUGUGAAAUUUCUUUCUUUUCUUUUUUUUUUUUUUUUUUUUGCAUUUCAUUUACCUUGUCUUAUUUGUUCUUUCUGUUCUCUCUAGUCUUAUUUUCAAAUGCAAUUAAGACCACCUAGUUCUGUCAUUGGCUGGAAUUCCCAGGAAUCAGUGACCCUUUGAUAGAGGUGUGUGUGCCCUGCCCAGGGGACCCAGUGGGCAGCAUGAGGCUCCCCUCUCCCCUUUCUCAACCAGCCUGGAGUAUGUUGGAAAUAAAACAGAGAGCUAAAGAAUGUGGAGAAACUGCCGGCCUGAACCCAACUAGAGUGGAAAACAUCCAAGGAAGGCUGGUGGCGCUGGGAAGUGAGCUGAGUCUCUUGGGUUCUAAAAAGCUGGAAGGAUUGGAGCAGGAACCCAGCCCCACACUUUCCAGCUUGUUUUGUCGACAGGAAUGUUUUGCUGGAGGAAAGGCCUGAGGAGAAGUUUGAUUUUCUGUAACUCAAGUAGAUUUGGAACAUUGCUCUUCCUUUCCAUUGCAAACAGUUUUUUCUUCCAAUGCUGAUAUUCGUUGAGAUGUUUAACUCCU